rnacentral:rRNA from 1 species
AUUGAACGCUUGCGGCAGGCCUAACACAUGCAAGUCGAACGAGUGGCGGACGGUUGAGUAAUGUCUGGGAAACUGCCCGAUGGAGGGGGAUAACUACUGGAAACGGUAGCUAAUACCGCAUACCAUCGGAUGUGCCCCGAUGGGAUUAGCUAGUAGGUGGGUUAACGGCUCACCUAGGCGAAGAUCCCUAGCUGGUCUGAGAGGAUGACCAGAAACACUGGAACUGAGACAAGGUACAGACUACUAAGGGAGGCAGAAGUGGGGAAGAUUGCACAAUGGGCGAAAGACUGAUGCAGCCAUGCAGCGUGUAGGAAGAAGGCCUUCGGGUUGUAAAGGACGUUCAGCGAGGAGGCGUUACUCGCAGAAGAAGCACCGGCUAACUCCGUGCCAGCAGCCGCGGUAAUUC